UCCAACUUACACUACGGUACGCCAUGUUCAUAAUCCUGCAGAAGUUUGGACCGUGUUUUGAUAUCAUAGUUUGCCAAUGCCGAAUACCUAGAAGCAUCCUUAAGUUACUGCCUCUGUUCAUUUCCAGCCCAACAGGGACAAAUGUUUCACCCCAAUAAAGGAAUGAUCGAGGUGUGGCUCUAGAAAAAUUGCGAGAUCAUUAAAAAAAAAAGAAUACGAGGAAGGCGUAUCGUACUUCCUCCUUCCUCUGUACCCUGUCGUACACCAAAAUUACGCAGAUACGUCCGGCGACGUCAUAAUACACAUAUUUUUUAUCUCGAUCUCUUCCUUAGCUAAAAGAAUAAGUAUUAGAGAAGGAAAG
rnacentral:lncRNA from 1 species